rnacentral:sRNA from 1 species
AAUAAAAAAAUAAACAAAAUUCCUAUGACGGGAGAAAAUUGAAUGUACAUAGGAAAAGAAUACCUGUAAUAAAUAUUGAGCCUUAAUUUGUACAUACUACAAACAUGAUAAGUUUAGUGUCUGUAACUAAAGUAGUCAUUUGAAAAUCAGUCUCAGUGGCAGUGUUCUGUUAAAGAAGGCUGUGAAAAAAACAAACAAACAGAAAACCUCUCUCGGUUUCUAUCCUCCAUUCUUAAGAAUUUUAAUGCCCGCCCCAGUCACAUCUUGCCCCUGAACUAAUGAUGUAUGCUACCAUCCUAUCCUAAUUAAAACUCCCCUACCUUGUUCGCAAUCAUUCAAGCUACAACAGCAACAACAAAAUCUAAUAAACAACAAAAUCUAAUAAACUAAGUCCUAAUGAUGAGUGUAGUGUUUACGGGCCAGCACAGAUUGCCCAUUAGCACGUGUUGGCAGCAGUCGUUGCAAAAGCCUUAAUGAGAUGAGGCUGCAGGCUUUUAACAGUGUCUAAAAGGAACAUGGGAAUGGGGGUUUCAGAGGAGAGACUGAGGUGCCGUCUCAGUGUCUUACUUUUAUUAUCUCUAUGACAAAGUAUCUGAAGAAAGGGUUGAUCUUGAUUCAUAGUUUGAGGGCGCAGUCUAUCAGGGUGGAGAAGGCAGAGCUGUAAGAUGGGCAGCUGAUUAUACUGUGUCCAUAGUCAACAGGCACAGGCAGGCAAUUAAUUUAUUCUCCCUCUCUUAUUAUAGUUGGAGAUCAUUGAUUAUGGGAUGGUACCACCUGCAUUAGGGUGGGUCUUCCUAGCUGAAUUAGCCCAACCUAUCUAUGAUCACACACACACACACACACACACACACACACACACACACACACACACACACAUGUCCAGAGGUUUGUUUCUAUUGUGACCCCCAUUCCCAUCAAGUUUGCAGUAAAGAUCAACUACUACAGUGCCUAUGGAAGCCUGAAACAGUAAUGAAUAGUUCAUCAGGCAAGUGUGACUAGUUCAAGAAAGAGAUUGAGGCUGGAAAGAGAAGACCUGGGAGUAAACGCAGUGAUUGGUACCUGGAUCCAUGGGAGCAUGAAGAUGUCCCAGAGAUGGGGUCUCCCCUUCACUUCCACUGUUGCCUUACUAGUCAGGUCACUCUUAGAGCCUCCUAGCUUGCGUCUCUAGGACCAUUUCCUCCACUUCCAUCCUCCUUCCUCCUCGGCAGUCAGGGGAGUCCUGUCCUUUAGAUCACCUGAUUCUUCUCAAACUCCCCUAUGAUCUCCCAUAGACACCAUCUCACCAAAAAGAGACUAAACACUGCCAGUGGCUGGUGAGCCCCUACAGCAUCAAAGCUCAUUGUUUCUGACCUUGGUCCUAAAGUUCACUCCAUGCACCCUCAGGGCAUUCUUGGUAUUUUCAGCCCUUCUAGACCUUCCCCUCUGGGUCUUUGACCUGAUGUUCUCUCUGCCUGAAAUCUUCUUCCUGUAGAUACUCAUGUGUCAGUCCUUUUCCUUUUUGAGACUUUUGCUCAAAGUCAGCAUCUUUGUGCCCUACUCUGGGCAUCUUUCUUUAGAUUGCCUUUCCCUUCCCCUACUCUCACCUGUACCAUUCUUUAUUUCCUUUCUAAAGUACUUGUUGCUGGCUGAUACAAUAGCUCAACUUCAAACACACGGGACCCUAGAUUCAGUUCCUAGUAUUGCCAAAUAAGAGUAAUAAUGAACAAAGCAUUUGCCACUCUAGCUAUUGUAAUGAUUUAUGUCAUCUAUCCAAGGACAGGGAUAGUUCUUUAUAUUUUCUUCACUAAUGAACCACUAAUGGACCCAGACAAGUGCCUGAUAUACACUAGGGUGGGGUUAUAUUAACUAAAUGUGGAAUGAAAUCUGAGAGAUUCCUGAGGAACUACAACUGUUAGGCAGAAUUUCCAAAGGGAAAUUGACAAGCUCUUUCCUGUGUCUAGUGAUUUGAAUGAGAUCUCUCCCAGGGUCUUGGUCAUUUGAAUAUACGGCCUCCAGCUGGUGGUUUCAUUUGGGUAGAUUUAGGAGGUGUGGCCUUGCUGGAGGAAGUAGACAACUAGGGGUGGGUUUUGAGGUUUCAAUAGCCACGCCCAUUCCCACUUUGCUCUCUGCUUCCUGGCUAUGGUUUAAGAUGGGCGCUUUCUAAGCUUACUGCUUCAGUCACCAUGCCUGCCUGCUGCCAUACUUCCCUGGUGUGAUGACAAGAGACUCUAAUCCCUCUGGAACUGUAACCUCCUAAAUAAACCCUUCCUUCUAAACGUGUCUUGGUCAUGUAUUUUAUCACAGCCAUAGAAAAGUACACUAUGAGACAAAACAAAGAUUAUAAGGUUUUAAGAACUAAGAAGUAGCCAACUGCGUCAAAUACUAGCCAAGUGUCAGAUGACUGAGAAGGUGUUCUAGAAACCUUUGUUGGGUUUAGCAACCAAAAGGAUGAGGGCUUGGUGAGAGAAUCAAUGAGACAUACAGAGCUACCAUAAAAUAUAAAUGUUUAAGUAGAGGUAAAAUGGGGGGAAAGGGGGAAGGAGGGGGAAGAGGUAACUUUUAAGCAGUGAAAUCACCACAUCUAUAAAACAUUGAUCUGGAUUAUCUAUUGUUUCAGUUGCUGCUGUCUAACAAACCAUCCCCAAACUAGAUGAGUGAAGAUGGCAUCUCUUUCACUGUUGCUCAGAAUCCUGUGGUUGAUCAAGUUCAACUUUGGGCAGACUGGUCUGUACCCAGCAGUAGAGCAUCCAGAUAACCGCAGUUGGCCACUUCUCUGUUCCUGGCCUGAGGUACAGGCUGAAUGAGAAGCCAGCAGCUCCAUUUUUAAGAUGUUUGCUGUAUUCUCUGGCUAUCUGCAUACUCCCUGGGCACGCAGUUGCUGCUUUUCUGAGAAUUGGCAUCCAGC